rfam:Rattus norvegicus chromosome 2, whole genome shotgun sequence.
GGGGAUUUAGCUCAGUGGUAGAGCACUUGCCUAAUAAGCACAAAGCCCUGGGUUCGGUCCUCAGCUCCA